rnacentral:rRNA from 1 species
AGAGUUUGAUCCUGGCUCAGGACGAACGCUAGCGGCGCGCCUAAGGUAUGCAAGUCGAACGGACCCGCAAGGGUUAGUGGCGAACGGUCGAGUAACACGUAGACAACCUACCGGCAAGUGGGGGAUAACAGCGGGAAACUGCUGCUAAUACCGCAUGUGGCCUUCUCUAGCAUUAGAGAAGGGCUAAAGGAGCAAUUCGCUUGCCAAUGGGUCUGCGGCCUAUCAGGUAGUUGGCGGGGUAACAGCCCACCAAGCCGACGACGGGUAGCUGGUCUGAGAGGAUGAUCAGCCGGACGGGGACUGAGACACGGCCCCGACUCCUUCGGGAGGCAGCAAUGAGGAAUCUUGCACUAUGGGGGAAACCCUGAUGCAGCGACGCCGCGUGGGUGAAGAAGUUCUUCGGAAUGUAAAGCCCUUUUAAUCGGGACGAACAACAUGACGGUACCGAUUGAAUAAGCCCCGGCUAACUACGUGCCAGCAGCCGCGGUAAUACGUAGGGGGCGAGCGUUGUCCGGAUUUACUGGGCGUAAAGAGCGCGUAGGCGGAAGCUUAAGUGUGGCCUGAAAGCCCCCGGCUCAACCGGGGAAGGUGGCUGCAAACUGGGCUUCUUGAGGGGGAUAGGGGAAAGUGGAAUUCCGGGUGUAGCGGUGAAAUGCGUAGAGAUCCGGAGGAACACCAGUGGCGAAGGCGGCUUUCUGGGUCCGCCCUGACGCUGAGGCGCGAAAGCGUGGGGAGCGAACGGGAUUAGAUACCCCGGUAGUCCACGCCGUAAACGAUGGUCACUAGGUGUGUGCGGUAUCGACCCCGCACGUGCCGUCGCAAACGCAUUAAGUGACCCGCCUGGGGAGUACGGCCGCAAGGUUGAAACUCAAAGGAAUUGACGGGGGCCCGCACAAGCGGUGGAGCAUGUGGAUUAAUACGUCACUAACCGUAGAACCUUACCCAGGCUUGACAUCUGUAGAACUCCCUUGAAAGGGGGAGGUGCUUCGCAAGAAGAGCUACAAGACAGGUGUUGCAUGGCUGUCGUCAGCUCGUGUCGUGAGAUGUUGGGUUAAGUCCCGCAACGAGCGCAACCCUCACCGUAUGUUGCCAGCGUAAAGUCGGGCACUCUUACGGAACUGCCCGGGUAACCGGGAGGAAGGUGGGACGACGUCAAGUCAGCAUGGCCCUUACGCCUGGGGCUUCACACAUACUACAAUGGCCGGUACAAAGGGCUCCGAUACCGCGAGGUGGAGGCAAUCCCAAAAAGCCGGUCUCAGUUCGGAUCGCAGGCUGCAACUCGCCUGCGUGAAGUUGGAAUCGCUAGUAACGGCCGGUCAGCUAAACGGCCGUGAAUACGUUCCCGGGCCUUGUACACACCGCCCGUCACGUCACCUGAGUCUGUUGCACCCGAAGCACUUGGCCCAACCCGCAAGGGAGGGAGGGUGCGAAGGUGUGGCCGGUAAGGGGGACGAAGUCGUAACAAGGUA